rnacentral:rRNA from 1 species
GACGAACGCUGGCGGCGUGCUUAACACAUGCAAGUCGAACGAAGUGGAGAACGGGUGGGUAACGCGUAAUCAACCUGCCCGUCAGAGGGGGACAAAAGUUGGAAACGACUGCUAAUACAGCAUACUGAAGGAGGGGAUUGCGUCAGAUUAUCUAGUUGGAGGGGGAACGGCCCACCAAGGCGAUGAUCAGUAGCCGGUCUGAGAGGAUGAACGGCCACAUUGGGACUGAGACACGGCCCAGACUCCUACGGGAGGCAGCAGUGGGGAAUCUUCCGCAAUGGACGAAAGUCUGACGGAGCAACGCCGCGUGAGUGAUGACGGCCUUCGGGUUGUAAAGCUCUGUUAAUCGGGACGCGGUACCGGAAUAGAAAGCCACGGCUAACUACGUGCCAGCCGCCGCGGUAAUAC